CCUACGGGAGGCAGCAGUGGGGAAUAUUGCACAAUGGGCGCAAGCCUGAUGCAGCCAUGCCGCGUGUGUGAAGAAGGCCUUCGGGUUGUAAAGCACUUUCAGCGGGGAGGAAGGCGGUGAGGUUAAUAACCUCAUCGAUUGACGUUACCCGCAGAAGAAGCACCGGCUAACUCCGUGCCAGCAGCCGCGGUAAUACGGAGGGUGCAAGCGUUAAUCGGAAUUACUGGGCGUAAAGCGCACGCAGGCGGUCUGUCAAGUCGGAUGUGAAAUCCCCGGGCUCAACCUGGGAACUGCAUUCGAAACUGGCAGGCUAGAGUCUUGUAGAGGGGGGUAGAAUUCCAGGUGUAGCGGUGAAAUGCGUAGAGAUCUGGAGGAAUACCGGUGGCGAAGGCGGCCCCCUGGACAAAGACUGACGCUCAGAUGCGAAAGCGUGGGGAGCAAACAGGAUUAGAUACCCGAGUAGUC
rnacentral:rRNA from 1 species